CCUACGGGUGGCAGCAGUGAGGAAUAUUGGUCAAUGGGAGAGAUUCUGAACCAGCCAAGCCGCGUGAGGGAAGACGGCCCUAUGGGUUGUAAACUUCUUUUGUCGGAGAAUAAAAUUCGGUAUGUGUACCGUUUUGUGUGUACCCGAUGAAUAAGGAUCGGCUAACUCCGUGCUAGCAGCCGCGGUAAUACGGAGGAUCCGAGCGUUAUCCGGAUUUAUUGGGUUUAAAGGGUGCGUAGGCGGACUGUUAAGUCAGUGGUAAAAUUUUAGGGCUCAACCGUGACGUGCCGUUGAGACUGGGUGACUUGAGUUGACGAGAGGUAGGCGGAAUGCGCGGUGUAGCGGUGAAAUGCAUAGAUAUCACGAAGAACUCCGAUUGCGAAGGCAGCGUACCGGCGCCAAACUGACGCUGAGGCACGAAAGCGUGGGGAUCGAACAGGAUUAGAUACCCCUGUAGUC
rnacentral:rRNA from 1 species